GAUGCGCAUCCCUAGGAACCGGAAGUAGGCGUACGGGGUCGCCUCACAAUCCACACCUCGUUCCGCCCGAACCCUGAGUACGCGUCAGGCUUCUCGGGGCGGGGAAAGGCCCAGGCCUCGCCCACUUGGGCGACGGAGGUCAGUGAUUGAUUCCCUGGGUCCUACGCGCUGGUCUGUUUCUGAGUGCCUCGUUGGACGCUGAUGCUGCUCAGCAUCCUUGGUGAAAAGUACGCGUGCCCGCCUUUCCUGACCCUUCCCGCACUAAAACAAAGUCUCAUUACGUAGCUCAGGCUGUCUUCGAACUCAUGAUCCUCUUCCUUAAGCCAAGGACUGGUAAUGCAAGGCUUCUGCCUCCAUGCCCAACCACAGCUCUCAUUAUUAAAAAUACUUGCCAAAGCCUGGGCCUGUUCUCCCCGGUGUUCUGGGCUUUCUCACUUUUCCUCCGAACCACCCUUUUGGGUCCAACUUCUACCAUUGCUGCACCUAAGAAGGCAUCGUUCUCUCUCUCUACUCCAGGCAGCUGCCAAGCCUUACAGCUUGCCUCCCUGUUGUUUUUCUCUUAAGCCCUACAAUGUUAUUCUUGAUCUUAAUAGUAAUAAUAAAAUAACAAAACAUCAAA